AUGGACCUGCAUAAUAAGGUAGUAGAACUUUAUAAAGCAUGAAAAGCAUCUAAAAAGAUAUCUCAACACUUUAAAAUGCCAGUCAGUACUGUUCAAACUCUGAUAAAGAGGUGGAAAAUAAAAGGUUCUGUUGAUACUAUGCCACAGUCAUGUACAGCAAGAAAGAUUUCACCCACUACUGACAGAAGAAUUGUUCUGGACACAAAGAAAAACCCACAAACAGCUUGGAGAGAAAUACAGGCUGCUCUGGAAAAAAAAAAGUGGUGGUGUUGUUUCAAGGAGCACAAUAAGGAGGUACCUGAACUCAAAUGGCCCGCAUGGUGGAGUUGCCAGGAGAAAGCCGUUACAGGAAAAAGCCGAGUCAUUCAGAGUGAUGAGUCCAAUAUUGACCUUCAUAGUCACAACCAUAAACGCUAUGUUUGGAGAGGAGUCAACAAGACCUACAGUGAAAAGUACACCAUCCCCACUGUAAAGCAUGCUGGUGGAUCUCUAAUGUUCUGGGGCAAGAUGAAUACAGCAAAAUACUGGCAAAUAAUAUGAAUUCUACAGCAUGAAAGCUGCACAUGGGACGCUCUUGGAUGUUCCAACAUGACAAUGAUCCAAAGCACAAGGCCAAGUUGACCCUCCAAUAGCUACAGCAAAGAGAUCUCAAAUGUGCAGUUUUGUGCAGGACAACCAAAAAAUUUACAGAAACUGGAGGCAUUUUGCCAAGAGGAAUGGGCAGCUCUACCAGCUGAGAGAAUUAAGGGCCUCGUGCACAAUUAUUACAAAAGACUGAAUGCCAUUGUUGAUGCUAAAGGGGUCAAUACACCAAGAACCAAAGGUAUGCAAACUUUUGAACAGCGGUUAUUUCCUCAUGUUUUGUUUGAUGAUUAUGCCUUGCAUAUGAACUUGAGUCCUAUAAAAAAACACAAUCUAUUUGUUUUGCCUUCUCACUUAUGUUUUCUUUAAAAAAAAAACAUCUUGCAGAUUCUCUCAAGGUCUGCAAACUUUUGAGCACAACUGUAUUAAGUAACAAAUGGUCCAAAUACUUCACUUAUAACUCAAUCUCUCUUUUCUCAAACCCUCUACAGGACACAUAGACAAUAUGAGGAUGAUGUAUAUUUUAUGUCUGUUGCCCUGAUGUUUGCUAAGAAGAGCCCUGAUCCUAGCACAAUGGUAUCAAAUACUGUCCUAAAUGCUGCACUUGCAAUGUUACUCCAUUAUUACAGCCUUGUGAGGUCCAUGAGUCCAAGGUGUGUCAUGCUUCUCUAUUUACAGAAUUAAAAGUAUGUCCACGAAUUACCCACAAUCCUCCAUGAUUGCACUAUUUCCACCGCCAAGACAGUGUGUGGUAGCCAUAUACUGAAUUUAGUCACCCACUACUUAGCUAAGACAUUAGCCAUGCUGAGGGCAUGUGGGCGGAGCUAAAAUAGUGCAAUCCAUAUUGGUCAAACACAAACAUGCCCUGAUUAUGAUUGACAGAAAUUGAUGUGAUUCACAAAUCCAAAAAUCUGCACAUGCAGAUGUUAGCACACGUAACAAACUGUGAUGCACUCUGUAUUCUGACCCCUUUCUAUCAGAACCAACAUUAACUUCAUAUAACCGUUUGACCAACAGUAGCUCGUCUGUUGGAUCGGAUCACACGGGCCAGCCUUCUCUCCCCACGUGCAUCAGUGAGCCUUGGCCGCCCAUGACCCUGUCACUGGUUCACCACUUGUCCAUUUUUCCUGCUUCUAACACAUCAACUUUGAGGACAAAAUGUUGACUUGAUGCCUAAUAUAUCAUCAGAUCAUCAGAGUUAUUCACUUCACCUCUCAGUGGUCAUAAUGUUAUGCCUGAUUCCCUGUAACGAGUGUGCUAAACUCAUCGUCCAAUCAGGUAUUAAACAUGUGGUUUACUUAUCAAAUAAAUAUGCACAAGAAGUAGAGACAAGGGCCUCUGUCAGAAUUCUGGAUGAAGCAAGCACACCAGAGAAUAAAAUCUACAGACAGUUUGAGUCAAGGCAGGAAGUUCAUGACCUGCUGGACUCCAUCAAUCCCUUUGCUGAGUGAACCAAGCUCUUCACUGCUGAAAUGCUGAAUAUUAUUAAAACAUUUAACUUUCCCAAAAAACUGAGGGGUAAAAUAGUAAUAUAGUUCAGUAGACAAAGUAAUCAUGGGUGAAAAUGGCUUAAAUACUGCUAUAUAACUGAAAUGUUUAAUCUUUAAUUAACUUUAAUUACAUUUAAUCGAAUCUAACUUGUGAUUUUACUUCUGAUAUUUUAUUUUUUUGGUGGAAAAAUUAAUGUGUUGGUGAGCAUGGGGUCAGGGCUUAAAUAACCCAACAACCUUUCCCCCUAAAAUUAAAUUUGAGCUGCUAACUAAAAGUCAGGUAUCAGACCAGAGUUGACAACAAAAUAAACUUUUAUUUCAGAUAGCAGAUAAAAUCAUUUCACACAAAGCAACCAGAAAACGCCAUUAUUACCUCUCCAGUAUUGGGUGCUGGCUUCCCUAAGCCUGAGGACACCAAACUCAUGUGCACCCCAACACCACAGCAUAUACACGACACCAUUGUGACUGCAGCUGCACUGGAACACUGAAAAUAGGAAAUAGCUAUAGUGCUAUAGUGCUGGAAAUAGCUAUAGUGCUAUAGCUGGUUGCCCCAACACUGAAGGGAAAUAUAGCACAUUUAAGGUUUCAGUCAUAUACACACCAUUCAUUCUCAAACGAAAAAGAAAGGUUUUCAAUUAUCAGCAUGACAUGUACCAUUAACAAAAAUUAAUUAAUAAUAAGAAAGACAGAAACCAGUAACAAACUAAUUAAUAAUUAAAAAAAGACAAGAAAACAGGAAUAACUGAGUUGAAUGCACUCAUCAGAAGAAUAAAACAAAUUAGAAACAGCACUGCCUGAGGGAAAUACAAAAGAACAGGUAGAACAAAAAGGGAAUCAUUAAAGAAAAAACAAAACAGAAAUUCAAAAUGAAAUGGUGUCGUCUUGUGUGAACUGAACAAGAAGGUAAAUCUGUUUCACACAGUCCUGCAUCCUAAUAGUUACCACAAGUGAACGCAAAAGCAACUCUGUCAGAAGGACAAACCCAAAAGCCCGAAACCUGCUGCAACAUCACUUAGCCAACCAUUACCUGGGUAGAUACAAAACACACCUGCAAAUUAAAAGUUGCAAAUUAAGCUAUUUAAAACAAACCUUUAUUAAAAAUUUAUGACAUAACUGAUAACCGUUAGUUUAACCCACACAAUGAUUCCCUUUAUAAAUGACCAUUACAAGCAUCCUAUCCGGCUCCUCAGUCCACACUAAAGAUAAAGCAGUCUCAUGUAAACCCUGCAUCACAAACAAUCCACCAUACAAAUGUAACAAACAACUUUUACCUCAAAGGGCAUUCAAAUGGCACUCCAGAAAUGAGGAAAUGCUAGGUAGGCGUGUUUCCCAAUGAUGUGACUAAUGUGACUAAUGCCAGUUUUAUACCCUCUGAACAAGAGCCCAGUCAAGACCCUCCCUGAUCACUUUUAAAGCUGGUUUAAAACUGUUUCACAUACUGCAUUCUGUCUUUUCCUUUUUCCAUUACUAUUAUUACUUAUUAAUAAUUAUUACUAUCAGUGUUGUAUAAAGUACCCAAAAGCCAUACUUGAGUAAAAGUACAGGUAUUUUGUUAGAAAAUGACUCAAGUAAAAGUUAAAG